UGGAAAGCCAUUGAGCGGUCGUACUCACACAAUGGCUAUCUAUCUUAUCUCUAUAGUUUAAUUCACCAGUUGCUUUACGCUGAGGAUCACUGCCCAAAGGCUAUAUCUGCUUUCCAUAUAACACUUUCCGGGAAAACACCUGCAAGCUGCGAAAUUGUGAUUCCCAUGUCUAGCUGUCUUUGACUUGCAGCAAAAUCUCUACCAAACCCCUUGAAAUCAGAGCGCUAACUGAAAAGUAUUACCACUUGAAAUUAAAUUAGCGUUAAUUGGAGGGUUUCAUGCAACAGCAGCCACACAUAUAAAAUGGCGUGUCGAGUAGCAUUCCAUGAAUAACAAGCAACAAUGGGCGGCAUAGCUUAUUUGCUUUCUUUCAUUUUGAUCCAUGAGCUGCUUCUAUCAUCUCAUAUCAGUAACACAGGCAAAGCCUCUGCAUGGGAAGCUCCUCCGUCUUGGUCUUCCCCUGAUGUGAUUUCAUCAAAUGAAAUCUCUUAUUACAAGUUGAAGGGAGUGUCUAGAAGGACAAAGCCAUCACCUCCACCUCCAAGGGUUAAUGUUCCUAUUCAUUACAAAAGUCCUCCACCACGACCGCCGCCGCCGCCACCACCUCCGCCGCCGCCGCCGCCGCCGCCACGACGACGACGACGACGACGACCACCUCCACCGCCACCAUGUUGAUGCUAGAUAUCAUUCUUCAAAAGAUUGUGUAGAAUCCAUCGAUCAUUCACAUGGAUUUAAAGCAAUAUCGCCAUCCCAGUGACAGGUGACUGCGCCAGAGCUGAGAUUAUGUUCUCAUGCCCCGGGAUUGUCAUGCUCUUAUUCUCAGGCCUCAGCCAUGCAUGUUCCAUAGCUCCAACGACUGCAGCCACAUUUGAAAAAACAAUUGCAGUAUAUCAAGAAAUCUGGCAAAGAUAUAUAUUAAUAAUCCAAAAAUUUUAUUAUUAUUUUAUCGUCACCCAUUUCAGUUUGCUAGUUUGCAAACUGAAGUUGCCAUCUUUUUUUGUUUUCACAAACAAAUUAGUAAAUAUUGUAAUUUUGUUAUUGUAAAUAAAAAUAUAGUAUAAUAAUAUUCAAUAUAAAACAAAUUAUAGAUUUA